rnacentral:lncRNA from 1 species
AUGAAUAUUGUGAGUGUUUAACACCCCGAGGAUGUUUUAUGGGAGAAAAAGGCACCAGAACAAUCAGAUCUGGUUUCUCUACCUGUAAUAUGAAAGAGUAUAUGAAAAUGAAUUAUAGUUGUCUUGAAGAUGCUCCUACAUAUGCAAUAAGAAAAGUAUGUGGCAAUGGAAUUCGAGAAGAAGGUGAAGAAUGCGAUUGUGGAACA